AAGUCGUAACAAGGUUUCCGUAGGUGAACCUGCGGAAGGAUCAUUAAUGAAUUUUGGAGUUCUACUGUGCCUGCCGUUCAUUCGGAUGUGUGCACGUAGUCUCUAUAAAUCCUUAUCAACACCUGUGCACCUUUAAAAAGGGGGGAGUCUGAUUAAGCAUUUUAUGAUGCUUAUGACGAAUAACCUCUUUUCUUAUACAAACUCUUUUAAUGUCUAUUAGAACGUUCUCUGGCCGCAAGGCUAUAAAAUAUAAACAACUUUUAACAACGGAUCUCUUGGCUCUC
rnacentral:misc_RNA from 1 species